CACACUUUAAUUUGUACAGGCUUCCCUCCUUUUACCACUGGCUUUUGCUUUUAGUAAUGAUCACAGUUGCCCACCACCACCAUCACCACCAACUGCUGACCAAUUUAAAUAAGCAGCAGAUUUCUCAGACCCCUCAUUCCCCACAAGAUUCCACCCCCAUUUACAGAUCUCUCUGCAGAGACAGCAGCAGCCAGAUGGAAUGGAAGAAGUCUCUUGUCUAAAGCCAGAGAAAGCAACAACCUUUAUCUUUAUGAUCAGCAUUACCUGUGACAGUAUUACAGCAAUGAGCAAUCUUACUAUCUCAGACAAGUGGAGCAGGAGAAGAGAAAGGUCUGCACACUGGAACCAUAUUGCAUUCUCCAAUCAAAUAAAGUAUGUUUUACAUUACAUGUAGAUCAGGCAAAGAAACAAAAAGCUCUGAACAGCCUAGAAGCUUAUUAUAUAACAUCUACACACAAAAAAUGAAAAGAAACUGAUAUAGAAGGCCAAUUCAACUUAUUGAUCCUCCUAGCUCUCUCUAUGUUUUCUUCCUUCUUUUUUUUCUCUUAUCAAUAUUCUCUAUAAACCUUGGCGAGGUGCCAAUCUGUAAGUACAAUGUUUGUUCUGUACAACUGGCUAAUCAAUAGCCGAAAACUUAUGGAA